rnacentral:lncRNA from 1 species
GAUGUGAUGCGGUGAGGCUUGAACAUUUGUUGUCGAAUUCCAGGUGGCGGUUGUAGAUAGCUACUGCUUUGACUUCAGCAUCACUGAUCACAGUACAGGCAGGAGAAAAGCAGUAGCAACAGUAAUGUCCCUGGAGUAAACUGCAGAAUACCUAGCUCCCUGUUGUGUUUUGUGGAAUGUCGUAAAUCAAAGAGAGCAUACUCCCAAAGAAGCUGUGUGGAUUCUCCAGAGAAUGGGUGUUACGGGUUCAGAAAACAAGGAAAUGUCACUGCAGUAACCUGUCUGCAGGAGUGAGUUCAAGCCCCAUCUUCCUUCCAUCAUUCAAAGGUUAUGAGCACAUUUUGCAGAGAGCCUUUUAACUGCAAAAUCCCAAAGGGAUGUGCAGCUAUGGAAUGCUGUAAUGUACCUGGCAGAAAAAAGAAACUGGAAGAGUUCCAGACUGACUUGUGCAUCAGACAUGGGAAGAGUAUGGAUGCCAUCGAGCUCUGUGGAAAGCUUGUCUCCAGUUGUAAAGCAUUUGUACAGCUGCAGGACAGAUACACAUAUGGAUUAUCACUUAAAAGAUGAAAAAAACAUGUUUUCUAUCAUAGAUGGAGUUUUAUUAUACUUAUUAUUAGCUUCUUGACAGUAUUUAUCAUUUCUAGGCAUUUUUACAACUAGACUGUUUGCUAACAUAUACGAUUUAGAGAGCUGCUUCCUAUAUACUAUUGCAGGCUGAAUUCCAGUGCAACUUCAUUCAUUUCAACUGUUGUGCUGUAAAAUUUCUGAGACUGAUGGUAUGUGAUAUAACCAGAGAGCAAUUCCUUAAAAGCAGUACACAAACAACCAGAUGACCUAUACAGUUUAUCCAAUCUUUGUGGGUUUUUUUUAAUUGAGAAAUUGAAGUUACUGGGUCAGUUUAAUCCUAAAAAUUUUAUCUAGGUUGAGUGCAACACUCAAAUGUUGGCUGCUGUAAGCUCCUGCUUUGCUAGAGAUCAGCCCAGUGGAUGGUGCCUGAUGGGGAAAAAUGAGUUGGAAGCUAUUGAUGCUGCCUGUUGUACAGAAUUUCCUGAAAUAAGUGACUUAAGCUCUUUGGACCUUGAUUGAGUUUCCACAAGUAAGUAAUGAUAGGUGUAUCUAUUUCUAAUCUUCUAGGCACAAAUUUACUGUUCAACUGACUGUUGCUGGGGGCAGGCAAACAGCAGUGGUAGAAACAGGGUGAGAAAGAGUUGGGAGGUUGUUCUGAAGGAGGCAUUCAGUGAUGGUCGCUACAGAGGGGCAGACCAUACCCGCUCUUUGCUGCU